rnacentral:rRNA from 1 species
ACAAGGGUGAACCCGUCUCUGUGGCAAAAGAGUGGGAAGACCUUGUAGUAGGGGUGAAAAGCCAAACGAGCCUGGUGAUAGCUGGUUGCUCAACAAACGAAUUUUAGUUCGACCUUAGGUUACUUUCUCAAAUAAAUGUCCACAUACAACCUAAGAGCUAAUCAAUGAGGGUACAACCCCAUUGAAACAGGAUACAACCCUUACUAGAGAGAAAGGAAAACCGACCAAACCCGUAGGCCCUAAAGCCGCCACCAGUAAUAAGAGCGUCAUAGCAUAAAACCAACAAAUACCACAACCACCAACAAACUCCUAGCAAAACAUUGAGCCAAACUAUAACUAUAGUAAAACUACUGCUAAAACUAGUAACAAGAAACCUUCUCUCCGCACCCCUGUAACCCAGAAAUAGAAAACCUACUGGACAUUAACAGACCAAAAGAGGUAUAACAAACCCCUGUACCACACACUGUUGAACCAACACCGGAGUGCCAUCAAGACAGAUUAAAAGUUAUAUAAGGAACUCAGCAAAACUUGUCCCAACUGUUUACCAAAAACAUAGCCUUUAGCAACACAAGUAUUAAAGGUCCCGCCUGCCCAGUG